CGGAGGGUGCAAGCGUUAAUCGGAAUUACUGGGCGUAAAGCGCACGCAGGCGGUCUGUCAAGUCGGAUGUGAAAUCCCCGGGCUCAACCUGGGAACUGCAUUCGAAACUGGCAGGCUAGAGUCUUGUAGAGGGGGGUAGAAUUCCAGGUGUAGCGGUGAAAUGCGUAGAGAUCUGGAGGAAUACCGGUGGCGAAGGCGGCCCCCUGGACAAAGACUGACGCUCAGGUGCGAAAGCGUGGGGGAGCAAACAGGAUUAGAUACCCUGGUAGUCCACGCCGUAAACGAUGUCGACUUGGAGGUUGUUCCCUUGAGGAGUGGCUUCCGGAGCUAACGCGUUAAGUCGACCGCCUGGGGAGUACGGCCGCAAGGUUA
rnacentral:rRNA from 1 species